UGGUGAAGGAGCAGCGGCUGUCGAGACAGAGGCCGCUGUCGGCGCCGGAGAAGACGAUGGAUUUCUCUGCUCGCAGGAGGAGACGCUCGUCGCAGGUCGCAGGAGGAGAAGCUCGUCGCUCGUCGCAGGUCGCAGGUCGCAGGAGGAGAAGCUCGUCGCAGGUCGCAGGAGGAGAAGCUCGUCGCAGGUCGCAGGUCGCAGGAGGAGAAGCUCGUCCCCGGGGGGGGGGGGAGGGGGAGGCGCUGUUCGAGCACUAUCCAAGAAAUAAAAAAGGAACACAAUUUUGUUCCUUUUUUGUUUCUGAUUUGUGUUUCAAAUCCUGGGAAAAAAAAUAGAAAAAAUGUUUAAAAACCAAAAAAAAGAAAUAUAAAUAAACACAGCCUAUAUUGCCACUAUAAUUAUAUUACCGUGAUCACAAUAAUUAAUUAUUCAAGAAAUAUACUUUAUCUUCAUUAGAAUAAGAGAUUUCUACAAUAUUGAAAGUAAUUAUAUGCCCCUUGAAUUAAAGUCGAAAGAUAUUUAGUUCAAUUAAAGUCGAAAAGUAAAAGGAAAAUUAUUCAAAAACAAGUUAAGAUAGACAUCUCUCAUGAAUAAUGUAGCAUGUCAAUUACCCAUUAAAAGUGUUUUGGUGAACCACUUUUAUAUUUAUCUAUUAAGAUAGGUCCACCAUAUCUAUUUUAGAUCUAUAUAUGAAACAUAUUUCGUUUUAUAAGCUUAAUUCAUAUCUCAAAGAAAUUAUGCUCUUUUUUUUUUUUGGCAAGCACAUCAACAAAUUUGCUUUUAAUUAACUUGUGGACUUCAGCAAAUGACAAAAAUAAUAAACAUAACUAUCAAACACUCAUGUUCUUACUUUUCUUUGAUUUUUGGCCCUAAUGACAUCAAACACUAUUUUUUUGAUUGCCAUGUCUCAGCUUCUCUUGCUUUCUUUUGGGCGACAAGGUGUAACUUACCUUGGCGAGCGAGACUGUGGGUGGAUAACCUAUCUUGGGCUAUUAAAUUCUUAUCCGAUAAAGGGUUCUUCUACUGUAUUGCUAGAGUUUCUUUUGCUGCCUUAUGUUACUUGAUUUGGGAAAAAAGGAAUGAUAUUAUAUUCCGUGGGGAAGCCUUGGUCGUCUCUGCCUUGAAAAAUCACCUGAUCAAAGUUGUAAAGGAGAAAGCGCUCACCUUCUCAAAUGUUCCAGAUAUCCCGAGAAAUAGGCGUCUUCAGAGGAACUGGGGCUUUCAUCCCUCCAUUUUCUCAGGCCAUACUUCGACUUCUAUAGGUUGUUGCUUGGAUCGCGUUCCUGCUUCAAGUUACUUUAGCUAUCCGUUCUUGGUCUCUUCGUUUCUUGAAUUGCCAAGGUUUCGUGUUGGCUGCCGUGACUUCUAUUUAGUGACCGUGUUGGUCGCUUUUUGUUUUUCUUGUUUUUGUUUCUCCUUGCCUUUGGCUUUUUCUUCGGCUCCUUUCCUCUCUUUCUACUUACUGUAGUUAGAG
rnacentral:lncRNA from 1 species